CGUUCAGAACUCAAACUCAUGUUUUAAUAAAAUAGUUAAUUGAACGUGUUUCUGAAAAUAUUUUAAGGGGGAAAUAGGCCGUGCAGUUGCUGAAGAUGAAACUGAGAAUAAUG